UACGUAGGGAGCAAGCGUUGUUCGGAUUUACUGGGCGUAUAGGGCGCGUAGGCGGCAAUUCAAGUCAUCUGUGAAAUCUCCGGGCUUAACUCGGAACGGUCAGAUGAUACUGUCAUGCUAGAGUGCAGAAGGGGCAAUCGGAAUUCUUGGUGUAGCGGUGAAAUGCGUAGAUAUCAAGAGGAACACCUGAGGUGAAGACGGGUUGCUGGGCUGACACUGACGCUGAGGCGCGAAAGCCAGGGGAGCAAACGGG
rnacentral:rRNA from 1 species